rnacentral:rRNA from 1 species
CGGGUAGCGGAACACGUACAGAACCUUCCUUUAAGCGGGGAAUAGCCCGGAGAAAUCCGGAUUAAUACCCCAUAAGAUUAUAUAGUGGCAUCACUUGGUAUAAUUAAAGAUUUAUCACUUAAAGAUGGCUGUGCGCCUGAUUAGGUAGUUGGUGCGGGUAAUGGCCCACCAAGCCAACGAUCAGUAACUGGUGUGAGAGCACGACCAGUCACACGGGCACUGAGACACGGGCCCG